GACGAACGCUGGCGGCGUGCCUAAUACAUGCAAGUUGAGCGCUGACGGCUGGUACUUGUGCCAACUGGAUGAGCAGCGAACGGGUGAGUACCGCGUGGGGAAUCUGCCUUUGAGAGGGGGACAACAUUUGGAAACGAAUGCUAAUACCGCAUAAAAACUUUAAACAAAAGCUUUAAGCUUGAAAGAUGCAAUUGCAUCACUCAAAGAUGAUCCCGCGUUGUAUUAGCUAGUUGGUGAGGUAAAGGCUAACCAAGGCGAUGAUACAUAGCCGACCUGAAAGGGGAAGCGGACACAUUGGGACGGGGACACGGCCCAAACUCCUACGGGAGAGAGCAGUACGGAAUCCUCAGCAAUGGAAGAAAGGCUGACCGUGCAACGCCGCGCGAGUGAAGAAGGUUGUCGGGUCGUGAAACUCAGUUGGUAGAGAAGAUCGUUAGUUAGUGUGGAAAGCGCAGAAAGUGACGGUAACUACACAGGAAGGGACGGCUAACUACGUG
rnacentral:rRNA from 1 species